rnacentral:misc_RNA from 1 species
AUAGAAUAUAUGGGGCUAUUUAUAGAGUCUUAAUCUCCUAAACUCAAUAGGAAUAUAAAGCUAAUAGUUAGGAGGUUUUGAUAAACCUAAGUACAAAAGAGAACCAUAGAUAAAAUAGGAGUAAAAGUAAUCCUAGAUAGAAUAGGAAGAACCAAGUGGCUUGAGGACUGCUGGACUUCGAAAUUAACCAAAAAUGUAGGUGCCACUGCUGUCCAGAGAGUCUCAUAGCCUGUGUGGG